GUGCAGCAGGCGCGAAUCCUCCACAAUGCACGAAGUGUGAUGGGGUUACCCUGAGUGCCAUCCGAUGAGGAUGGCUUUCACCAGUGUAAGGCGCUGGUGGAAUAAGGGGAGGGCAAGGCUGGUGCCAGCCGCCGCGGUAAAACCAGCUCCUCGAGUGGUCGGGAUGAUUAUUGGGCCUAAAGCGUCCGUAGCCGGUCUGGUAAGUCCCCGGUUAAAUCCGGCAGCCUAACUGUCGGCCUGCUGGGGAUACUGCUAGACUUGGGGGUGGGAUAGGCUAAAGGUACUCCCAGGGUAGGGGUGAAAUCCUAUAAUCCUGGGGGACCACCAGUGGCGAAGGCGUUUAGCUGGAACACGCCCGACGGUGAGGGACGAAAAGCCAGGGGAGCAAAACCAAGCUCCAAAAACGUUUUGGCUUGGGCUUAAACCGGAUUAGAUACCCGUGUAGUCCCUGAGACUACCAAGGCACACA
rnacentral:rRNA from 1 species